UACGUAGGGACCAAGCGUUGUUCGGAUUUACUGGGCGUAAAGGGCGCGUAGGCGGCAAAUUAAGUCAUCUGUGAAAUCUCCGAGCUUAACUCGGAACGGUCAGGUGAUACUGAUCUGCUAGAGUGCGGAAGGGGCAAUCGGAAUUCUUGGUGUAGCGGUGAAAUGCGUAGAUAUCAAGAGGAACACCUGAGGUGAAGACGGGUUGCUGGGCCGACACUGACGCUGACAGCGCGAAAGCCAGGGGAGCAAACAGG
rnacentral:rRNA from 1 species